rnacentral:rRNA from 1 species
GACGAACUCUGGCGGCGUGCUUAACACAUGCAAGUCGAACGGAAAGGCCCUGCUUUUGUGGGGUGCUCGAGUGGCGAACGGGUGAGUAACACGUGAGUAACCUGCCCUUGACUUUGGGAUAACUUCAGGAAACUGGGGCUAAUACCGGAUAGGAGCUCCUGCUGCAUGGUGGGGGUUGGAAAGUUUCGGCGGUUGGGGAUGGACUCGCGGCUUAUCAGCUUGUUGGUGGGGUAGUGGCUUACCAAGGCUUUGACGGGUAGCCGGCCUGAGAGGGUGACCGGCCACAUUGGGACUGAGAUACGGCCCAGACUCCUACGGGAGGCAGCAGUGGGGAAUAUUGCACAAUGGGCGGAAGCCUGAUGCAGCAACGCCGCGUGCGGGAUGACGGCCUUCGGGUUGUAAACCGCUUUCGCCUGUGACGAAGCGUGAGUGACGGUAAUGGGUAAAGAAGCACCGGCUAACUACGUGCCAGCAGCCGCGGUGAUACGUAGGGUGCGAGCGUUGUCCGGAUUUAUUGGGCGUAAAGGGCUCGUAGGUGGUUGAUCGCGUCGGAAGUGUAAUCUUGGGGCUUAACCCUGAGCGUGCUUUCGAUACGGGUUGACUUGAGGAAGGUAGGGGAGAAUGGAAUUCCUGGUGGAGCGGUGGAAUGCGCAGAUAUCAGGAGGAACACCAGUGGCGAAGGCGGUUCUCUGGGCCUUUCCUGACGCUGAGGAGCGAAAGCGUGGGGAGCGAACAGGCUUAGAUACCCUGGUAGUCCACGCUGUAAACGGUGGGUACUAGGUGUGGGGUCCAUUCCACGGGUUCCGUGCCGUAGCUAACGCUUUAAGUACCCCGCCUGGGGAGUACGGCCGCAAGGCUAAAACUCAAAGGAAUUGACGGGGCCCCGCACAAGCGGCGGAGCAUGCGGAUUAAUUCGAUGCAACGCGUAGAACCUUACCUGGGUUUGACAUGGAUCGGGAGUGCUCAGAGAUGGGUGUGCCUCUUUUGGGGUCGGUUCACAGGUGGUGCAUGGCUGUCGUCAGCUCGUGUCGUGAGAUGUUGGGUUAAGUCCCGCAGCGAGCGCAACCCUUGUUCACUGUUGCCAGCACGUUAUGGUGGGGACUCAGUGGAGACCGCCGGGGUCAACUCGGAGGAAGGUGGGGAUGACGUCAAGUCAUCAUGCCCCUUAUGUCCAGGGCUUCACGCAUGCUACAAUGGCUGGUACAGAGAGUGGCGAGCCUGUGAGGGUGAGCGAAUCUCGGAAAGUCGGUCUCAGUUCGGAUUGGGGUCUGCAACUCGACCUCAUGAAGUCGGAGUCGCUAGUAAUCGCAGAUCAGCAACGCUGCGGUGAAUACGUUCCCGGGGCU